AUUUGCUUUUUAUUUUGGACCUCAGGUAAAAGUUCUGUAUCACAGGGUAAUGAGUGAAAUAUCCUCGCUGAAAAACCUCUGGAUAAAGGCUCUGAGCAGCCCAGGAAAGGAGGAGGAUGAAGAGAGCACAGUGGCAAAACAGCAGGUGCCUUUCUCAGGGUCACCACAGAGCUUGGAAAAGCCUCAGAGCAGCAGAUUUUAUGAUCUCAGUGGGAUCUCCAGUAAUCCAAGCGAGUUCAUCCCAAAAAAACUGAUCCCACUGCUCCAGUCUGUGGUUCAGAUGCUGGAGGAAAACAGAAAAAACAAUUUAUCACCAGGCUACUCCUCGAGGAGCACUUUAAAAGCCUCUGCUGCUCACACAGAGGCAUUAAAAAGCAAAGAAAAUCAUGAAACCACUCCAGCUUCCACAACACCCCCUGCCCUGCUCCCCUCACCUGCAGAAAGGAUCACCCACAUGCAGCAAGAAAUGCAGACAAGGUUCCUCUGGGAGAAGCACAGCUGGGAGCGGGCACAUCUGGAAAUGGCCCUGCUGGCACAGGAGAUGGGCACUGUCUGCUCCUUCUACCAAUCAUCCAAGGAGUGCCACCAAGGAAAUUGGGGGCUGGAGAGCAGGGCUGGCACGCUGGAUUCACUCCUGGAAGAGCUCUCAGAACACCACGGCCAGGCUGGACAAGCCCUGCUCCAGCGACACCUGGAUGAAUUCAAACACUGCAGCCUCAGCCCCGAGCUGGCAGUGCCCAAACAGCCCCAACAUUUCCUGGAAGAGCUUCCCCAUCAUUUGUCCUUUUGUCUGCUUGGUUUGCAGAGCCCAAAUUGUGAGUUCAGCGAGCAGCAGGUGAGUUUGAGGCAUUUUCUGGGGGGGUUUUGUCACCUGGCAGGAGUGGAUGGCACAAACACACAGCCCCAUUCCACAAUUAUCAAACCACCUUCAGCAUUACCAGAAAUUCCAGUGUUCCAAGUCUGCCCUGGGAAUUGGCCCUGCUCUGCUGCCCACAGAGC
rnacentral:lncRNA from 1 species